rnacentral:lncRNA from 1 species
CAAUGAACUGAGCAGUGACUGAAAGUAUACAAAAUAAAAUGCGCUUAAAGUCCGAUUCCGGAAUGGGAAAGAUUUCCAUAUACAUGGUGAGCAGAGUCCACAUUGGAUGGAGCUUCUGACAGACUCUCAGGAGAAAUGGGUGGAUGUUCAGAAGAUCAAGGCAUUCCCAGCCAUGGUAGCAAACCCGACGCUAAGAACCGGGGCACAGGCACUCAUGCAGAUUGGUGGGUUGGGUAAGAUCAAGACCAACACAAUCAUCA